rnacentral:rRNA from 1 species
GAUGAACGCUAGCGGGAGGCCUAAUACAUGCAAGUCGAACGGUAAGGCUCCUUCGGGAGUACACGAGUGGCGCACGGGUGCGUAACGCGUACAUAACAUACCUUGAAGCGGGGGAUACCCUUUGGAAACGAAGAAUAAUACCCCAUGGUAUUUCGGAUUCGCAUGAAUCUGAAAUUAAAAUUCCGGUGCUUCAAGAUUGGUGUGCGUAUGAUUAGUUAGUUGGUGAGGUAACGGCUCACCAAGGCAGCGAUCAUUAGGGGGCGUGAGAGCGUGAACCCCCACACGGGCACUGAGACACGGGCCCGACUCCUACGGGAGGCAGCAGUAAGGAAUAUUGGGCAAUGGAGGCAACUCUGACCCAGCCAUCCCGCGUGUAGGACGACUGCCCUAUGGGUUGUAAACUACUUUUCUACAAGAAGAACGGCAGAUAUUUAUAUUUGUAUGACGGUAUUGUAGGAAUAAGCACCGGCUAACUCCG